rnacentral:rRNA from 1 species
GUAGGGUGCGAGCGUUAAUCGGAAUUACUGGGGCGUAAAGCGUGCGCAGGCGGCUUUUGCAAGACAGAUGUGAAAUCCCCGGGGCUCAACCUGGGGAACUGCAUUUGUGACUGCAAGGCUAGAGUACGGCAGAGGGGGAUGGAAUUCCGCGUGUAGCAGUGAAAUGCGUAGAUAUGCGGAGGAACACCGAUGGCGAAGGCAAUCCCCUGGGCCUGUACUGACGCUCAUGCACGAAAGCGUGGGGAGCAAACAGGAUUAGAUACCCUGGUAGUCCACGCCCUAAACGAUGUCAACUGGUUGUUGGACGGCUUGCUGUUCAGUAACGAAGCUAACGCGUGAAGUUGACCGCCUGGGGAGUACGGCCGCAAGGUUG